rnacentral:lncRNA from 1 species
AAAAAAAGAAAAAGAAAAAGAAGAAGCCCAAGUCUUAUUAUUUUGUUGUAAGCAAUCUUCUGAUUGUUUUCCAAGUUGUUUAGCGAUAAAAAAAUAAAAAAAAUCAAAAUUAGAAAAUCUCAAGGAGAGAACCCAAAAUCUCUUGAUACGAUAAUAUAACUAAAGCGACAGAAAACGAGAAAAAUGAAAAAUAAAAAAAGGAUUAGGAGGGGAUUUCUGAAUUGUGAAGGGUCAAUAGUGGGUACCCACCUUCAGAUUCCGGCCAACCAGAAUUUGGUGUUUUAGACGAAACUUCGCCAACUACACACAUCCAAAC